ensembl:lncRNA
UUGCAAGGCUGCUUUCUGGCCAUUCUAGUGAUGCAACCUGACAAGCCAUAGCACCAACAAUGGGGAAGGAAGAACUGUAUGAGCCUGCCUAACUCCAGGCUGAAGCUGUUGUGUGAGGAGGAAUCCAGUUGCACAAACCUCAACAGAAGUCAUGCCACACCAUGUUGCUCAAAGCUGAACUGCGAGUCUGCAUGGUGUGCAUGGUGGUGCCACUAGAUGUCCCUUGUCACCCAAGUGAUGUUGGUGGCUCAUCCCCAGUGCUAUAUGAUGUAGCACUGUAAAGAAAUCAGUGUUUAAAGCAUUCGAUAUAGAGAGAUGUUGUGGCUGUCUCAAAAAGAAGACUUGUGUUAUCCUCAGAAAGCUGACAUCUUGGCGAGGACAUCUGUGCCACUCAGCAUGCCUAUGCCCUUGCACAGCUUCACCUGGGCUUCUGUGGAGUGAUUCCUGCUCGCCCUUGUCCCCCAUGGUGCUCUGUGCACCUACCAUUGCUGUAUGAGUAGGGGGAUGCGCCUGUCCCCAUGCUGCCCUGAAAGCUUCUGUGCCGUGUUAUCAGCCCCAGGAUGUGUCGCUGCAGUGUGUGAUCGCACAGACCAUGCUGUUGAGUAUUCAGAGUCACAUACGCUCGCCUGAAUGACUGAAAUGAAGUAUUUGCUGCUUUCUACUUCAUUUAAACCUGCGGGAGCUGGUAGUGCUCAUCCUCCCCACACACUGAGGUAUCCACACGUGCCACUCACCAGCCUGGGGCUUCUUCCCCAAGCAAUGGCUGAGCAAAUCUCUUAAUAACAGAGCAACUACUCGCAGAUUAUUGUGAUCAUAAUUUGGCUGACAUAGCCUUUAUUACUAAUGGCAAUGCUGGAAAUGGAAAACCCAGCUUGAUGCUCAGCUCCCUGCUGGAAAGUAAUAAAAUAAAGAGGAACAAAAUCAGUGAGUGUAUUUGCUACCAAACCUUUGAAAAACACAAAAGUGGAACCCUGCCAAUGCUGUUGCUGGCGGUUUUUCAGACCAGAGCCUCUCUCCAAGGUAGGAUUAGAAGUGGAAGUGCAUUUGUAUCUAUGACAUUAGUAUCAUGUUGUUGUGUAUGAAUGGAGGAUUUGCAAUCAUUUGACAUCUAUUGGUUUCUAUUGCAAUUAUGGCGCGCUGCUUUUUUUUUUACCUUCAGCAUAUUCUUUAACAUCUUCCAGUCAUGGAAUAAGUAGAAGACAACUUCAGUUAUUGUCACAAUCAAACAAACAAAGACAAGUGUUUUUUUUUUUGCCAACUCAAAGAAUGGUCAAAAGAGGAGUUUCAUUGAAAAUGUUCUGAUAAAAAUGGAGGAUGUCGCAGCUUUUCAGUGAGGUCUUUGUUGACAACAUGAGCUGAGGGAGGUUGGCUUUUACAUAGCCUCUUUUGUCCAUCUUUGUGCAAUGGCAGAAUUCACAGCUAAAUUCUGAUGGCAGAAAUUUCUUGUCUGAGAAUGGUAUAUCAUAUAGAUUAAUAACAAAAAAACAUCCCCAGACCAUAGCUCGGAUUUUGAAUACCAGAAUGAGCCUUCAGUGCUAAGGAAUGAGCCUCCAGUGCUAAGAAUACAGAAAAAGCUAUUAAUUUUUUUUCUUAAACAUAAAGAGAACCACUUGAUAAAAUCAGUUGCAAAUAAAGGAGGAAUGUAAAUGCACUUUUCAAUUAUUUUUUUAUUUCCCUCCCUCUCUCUCUCUCUUUUUUUUUUUCCAUGUUAAUACUUCUUUGGAUCUUGGUUCAUAACCAUCCAGUAAUUAUAAUUAUAAAGGAAACUAACUUUUACCGUGCUAAUUAAACUGUAUGUCACAUAGGCAUUCGGGGAGAAUUUCCCAUGCUUUCUAGCAUGAAUGGAAGGAAAGAGCAGCGGUGCUCAAUUUAAACUCGAUUUUUUUCUGGUACCUUGCAAAAAGGCUUCAUUGUAUUUUGAUUAAUCCAUGCUUGGUCCACCUCGGAUGUUUCCAUGGAAACAGAAUUUUUUUUUUCUUGAUGGCAACUGUUAGGCUCAGGAAGGUUCCUCUCCACACAAAACCACUCUGGCUCCUAAAGAACUACUUGUUGGAAAUUUAAUGUGCAUAAACAAAACUCCCAAAUUCCUCCUCAGUAUUACGGCAUUAUUGUUGUCAACGCUAAUAGAGAAGUGUUUUCUUAAUGGUACAGAGUGGUGCCUUUUCACUCCACAAGAAAAUAGAAUGUUACUAUUCUUUCUGCUGCCAGAGAGCGCUUUUCUUGGUCCAGGAAAAAUUAGAUUGCAAACCUUUCAAAAUUAAAUUUUAAGAGUUCCAAUGUGUGAAUAUUAUCUAGUUCUAGGCAUAAAUCAUUUGCCUUAAUGGCUGUAAAAAAAUUAAUUAAACUUGCCUUGUCGAUUGGCAGUAAUUUGAAUAAAUUAUUCUUCUGUGUCAUAUUAUUAUUUUUUUUUUUCAAAGAAAGAAAGAAUCUCUUCAUACGCACUGCUAUUAUGGUUGGAAUAGGUUUUAAAAGUCAGCCAACAGGGGGAGCAUUUGUAUGGUAUUAUUAAUGUCACAAAGUGGUUGGAAACACGACCAUAUUUUUUUUGUCUAAAAUUAUUAGAAUUCUUGACCAUUUUUUAAAAUAGAAAAGGUUUUGGUUUGGAGUGUUUCAGCUUCUGAAAAAUCAAAUCUUGACUUCUGCUGACAGUACAAGAAGCUAUUUUAAAGUGAUGGUUGGGUUUGUUGUUUGGAAAAAUUGAAGUUUUAGAGCACAGAUGAAAUAUUAUUUUGGUUGAAAAGCAAUUUUUGGUUAAAAAUAUGUGGAGGAAACCCAUUCAAGCACCUCUAAUUGAAAUUUGACUUGUUAUUUUUAUUUCAGUGACAUCCAUACCACAUCAUAUAAGAUGGCGUAGAAAUAUAAAAUGUAAAUAUGUAUAUUAGAGUAAAGCCCUGACACCAGUGCUUGUAAAAGUCAAGGCAGAGAUGAGAGAAAAAGAGCUGUUGAUUUAUUCAUCCUUCUUUUUGUUUCAUCUUUUUUCAUCAUGAGAAGGAAUCUGCCAAAUGGAAAAAGGAAGAUCUCUUUGAGUGCAAAAUAGAAUUUUCAGGCUUUCUCCAAGCACAUACUGCGAAUAGGAAGUAUACAUCAAG